AAACUUAAAGGAAUUGACGGGGACCCGCACAAGCAGCGGAGCAUGUGGUUUAAUUCGAAGCAACGCGAAGAACCUUACCUAGACUUGACAUCUCCUGAAUUACUCGUAACUGAGGAAAUCCCUUCGGGGACAGGAAGACAGGUGGUGCAUGGUUGUCGUCAGCUCGUGUCGUGAGAUGUUGGGUUAAGUCCCGCAACGAGCGCAACCCUUAUCAUUAGUUGCUAACAUUCAGUUGAGCACUCUAGUGAGACUGCCUGGGUUAACCAGGAGGAAGGUGGGGAUGACGUCAAAUCAUCAUGCCCCUUAUGUCUAGGGCCACACACGUGCUACAAUGGUGGGGGCAAAGAGAUGCAAUACCGCAAGGUGGAGCCAAACUCAAAACCCCAUCCCAGUUCGGAUUGUAGGCUGAAACUCGCCUACAUGAAGCCGGAGUUGCUAGUAAUCGCGAAUCAGAAUGUCGCGGUGAAUACGUUCCCGGGUCUUGUACACACCGCCCGUCACACCAUGAGAGUCGGCAACMCCCGAAGCCCGUGAGGUAACCUUUUGGAACCAGCGGUCGAAGGUGGGGUUGAUGAUUGGGGUGAAGUCGUAACAAGGUAGCCGUAGGAGA
rnacentral:rRNA from 1 species